GACGAAAAAGAACGAAAAAAUGCUAAAAAAAGAUCAAAAGUUGUGCCGCAGAGACACAACACAAACGAGACCCCCCCGGUGUCUUCUUCUUUAACCCCCCUCAUUUUGGAACUUCUUCAGCGAAAAGAACGAAAAAACCAAACCAUACCCCACCCCCCUGACCUCAUCGUCUUCACAUGACCCUUUACCAAACUCACCCAAAAACUAUCCCCUUCUCCUCCACAACGACGAUCCUCCAUAGCAGCUCACACCAUCACACACACAUAACCGAAAAAUAGAGGAGGAUCUUUGAAAAUAGUGAAGAGAACGAGACAAGCUUAAACUAUGGAGUCAAGCAGAGGUUAUUGAAAUCGCCGCUGUCUGGAGUGGUUUCGAGUGCGAUUUCGAGUCGAGUUUCGCGAUUCCGGGUUUGAAUUGUUGCUAUUUUCUCGACUGGAUGUUGGAUUUGAAGCCUUGUAUAUGUUUGGUUGUUCGAAUAUUCAAAGUAAUCUAAUCAUCGAGGUUUGAGGAGUGGUCGAUGUCGUCGUCCCAUUUUCUUGUUACCGUAUAUUGGUUCCGGUAUAGUUUCUUGUUGUUGUCCAUUUCCCCGGUCAAAGUCAGGUUGCAGAACGUUGAUCGUUGGAUGCUGAAGCAAGUUAAAAACCUUCAAAACCUUGUAGAGAUAUCAUGAUUAAGGGAAAAUUUGGAGAACAGUAGCAAAUCAUUUUUAAAUUUGAAGAAGGAGGAAAAUGUUUUUUGUUUUGUUUUGGUUCUUUUUUGGGAUUUUCGAACUUUCUGUUUCUUAUUUAGUUCUUAGUUUAAAUAUAACAAUUAGUACUAUGAGAUUUUAAAAUAAAAAAAAACACAAAAAAAACACAUUGGGUUUCUUCUGUUAAAUUUGAUUUCGACGAUGGAGUUGGUUUGAAAUAUUUGAUUCAGAGUUCCGUUUGAAGGUUGAAUCUGUGGAUGAAGAUAUUUCUGCUUCAUCAUUUGGUUCUGAUUUUUGGUUAUUCGAGUAUGGGAACGGAGUUUAGCCGAGGUUGAUUCGAGUUCAUUGCCGGUUUUAGAUUUUUGGUGCCGAUUUGGGUUCCCGUCUGCGAUUCGUUACAUCUCGAGUUCAAAGUAGUGAAACAAUCAAUUUCCCGGCUAUAUUGAGUUUUCUUGUACAGGUGUGGAUUUACUUACUGGAGUUUGGGCAUGACAGAUACCCCAUUAUCAUUGCAUUCAGAAAUUGCUCGAGGAGUCAUUUUAUAUUUUUGAGUCAAUUGUUCAUGUUUUACUUUCUAGUCAUGUAUAGUAGUAUUCGGUCUUUUCGGUGAUGUUAGAGUUUGUAAUAGUCUAGUUAAGUUUGCCUAGUCUUUUGUUAUUGUAUUAUUUAUUUGGUA